UACAGAGGGUGCAAGCGUUAAUCGGAAUUACUGGGCGUAAAGCGUGCGUAGUCGGUUAUUUAAGUCGGAUGUGAAAUCCCCGGGCUCAACCUGGGAAUUGCAUUCGAUACUGGAUAGCUAGAGUUCGGCAGAGGGAAGCGGAAUUUCUGGUGUAGCAGUGAAAUGCGUAGAUAUCAGAAGGAACAUCAGUGGCGAAGGCGGCUUCCUGGACCAAUACUGACGAUCAGGUGCGAAAGCGUGGGGAGCAAACAGG
rnacentral:rRNA from 1 species